rnacentral:rRNA from 1 species
UGCCAGACUCCUACGGGAGGCAGCAGUGGGGAAUAUUGCGCAAUGGGGGGAACCCUGACGCAGCAACGCCGCGUGAGUGAAGAAGGCCUUCGGGUUGUAAAGCUCUUUAAUCAGGGACGAAGAAUGACGGUACCUGAAGAAUAAGCUCCGGCUAACUACGUGCCAGCAGCCGCGGUAAUACGUAGGGGGCAAGCGUUAUCCGGAAUUACUGGGUGUAAAGGGAGCGCAGACGGCAGUGCAAGUCUGGAGUGAAAGCCCGUGGCUUAACCACGGGACUGCUCUGGAAACUGUGCAGCUAGAGUGCAGGAGAGGCAGGCGGAAUUCCUAGUGUAGCGGUGAAAUGCGUAGAUAUUAGGAGGAACACCGGUGGCGAAGGCGGCCUGCUGGACUGUAACUGACGUUGAGGCUCGAAAGCGUGGGGAGCAAACAGGAUUAGAUACCCGUGUAG